GCUACUACCGAUUGAAUGGUUUCGCGAGAUGCUCGGAUCGGGCCCAGCUCGUGCGAAAGCAUGUGCCGGGACUGAGAAGAAGUUCAAGCUUGAUCAUUUAGAGGAAGUAAAAGUCGUAACAAGGUUUUCGUAGGUGAACCUGCAGAAGGAUCAAGAUGGGAAGAGCGUCGAUUUGGGAAAGAGGGGAGAUAUCGGUGGUCGCCGUAUCAUUAAAAAAAAAAUAAGACAAAAGCCCGCAGACGAAGAAGAACAGUAAGAGCGCGGAUAUCGAUAAAGG
rnacentral:misc_RNA from 1 species